UCAACCAAAUAUUUUUCCACCUCACUUUUGCCUAAAGUCUCUUUCUUUCUCUUUUUUCUUUUGGAAGCUUCUUCCGUAUCAUGUAUUUUCCCUAGACUCACUUCCUCCCACAUUCACAUCUACAUCACAUGACAAGAUACUAGGAGUCGUAGAGUACAAGGCAUGACAACAUUUGUAAACCACUACCAAUUAAUCUUUGAUGCUUGCUACCAUUGCUUCAACUUUGUUGGUAUCAUACAAGGAUUCAAAACAAAAUGAGACAUAUGUGUCGUUUAUUUUUUAACUUAAUUAAUUAAGUUAAUUAGAAGUAUUUAUUUUUAUAACUUAAUACGACUUUUAGAUAAUUUUGACUUAAUAAAAUAAGCCAAUUUUUUUUAUUUUUACUCAAUGGAGAAAUAUGAAUUAAGUCAAUUACUUGUUAAUGUCAAAAAUAUCCCUAUUUUAUAAUUUAUUUUUCAUAUCUAUCCCAAAACUCACUCAUAGAUAUUUACCCCACAUAAAAAUAUCCUUAUUUUUUCUUUCUUAUAUUAUAUACGAUAAAAUUUGAAAUUUAUGGUAUUUUAUAUAUUAAAAUUCUAAAAUAAUUAUGUAUUCACUUGAAUAUAAUUUUACUUAUAAAUAUUAAAAUAUUGUAUUCACUUGAAUAUAAAGACGAAAAAACAAACAUAUUAUUCAGAUUCAGACAUUCAGAUCUAUUCAGAAUUCAGACUAAUUCAGGUCUAUUCAGAUUUCAGACAAAAAAACAAACGCCACCAUAGUCCAACUUAUAUCGAGGAUCAAGGACAACUGCAAUAAUCAAUAAUUUAUUCAUGUUUUCCACCGAACCCCAAUAUUUAUCA
rnacentral:lncRNA from 1 species